rnacentral:rRNA from 1 species
UACGAAGGGGGCAAGCGUUACUCGGAAUUACUGGGCGUAAAGCGCGCGUAGGCGGCUUAGUAAGUUGGAAGUGAAAGCCUAGGGCUCAACCUUAGAAUUGCUUUCAAAACUGCUUGGCUAGAGUGCUAGAGAGGAUAGCGGAAUUCCUAGUGUAGAGGUGAAAUUCGUAGAUAUUAGGAGGAACACCGGAAGCGAAAGCGGCUAUCUGGCUAGAUACUGACGCUGUUGCACGAAAGCGUGGGGAGCAAACAGG